rnacentral:lncRNA from 1 species
UUCUCUUUUUCCAAAAUUGUGAAUCAAAAGAACAUUGUCUGACUACUCUCUCUCUCUCUCUCUCUCUCUCUCUCAUUCAUGCAGCCGAAAGCAGAGAGAGAAGGGGGAGAUAAGAUGGAUUUCAUAAUAAGAACCUAUAAGGAGUCAGCAUGAUCUGUCAAAAGCAACGAAAAAAAAGAAGAAGAAGGAACUACACAGAAACAUGGGCACAAUUCAUCUCUCUGUGAUCUCAUCAUUUGUUGCUUUGGAUAUCAAAUCUCAAAAAUUGAUUGAUUUUUAUGGAACUCAUAUGUCAAUUUCCUCUUUUGAUCCAAAUAUAUGUCAGGCUCAAUUCUUGAUUUUUAUGGAGUUUUCUGUCCUUCAGGCUUCAUGCAUGCUAAAACGCAACGUUUGAGACCCAUUAUUAUAUUGUUAUUAUGGGCUGAUGACUAAAUGUUAUAGAAUAAAAAUAAUUUUAUUUAAGUUAUCCAAUGUAUAAGCCCUCGAAUUAACAUAUGAUUUUUAUUU